rnacentral:rRNA from 1 species
GAUGAACGCUAGCGGGAGGCCUAACACAUGCAAGCCGAGCGGUAUUGUUUCUUCGGAAAUGAGAGAGCGGCGUACGGGUGCGUAACACGUGUGCAACCUGCCUUUAUCUGGGGGAUAGCCUUUCGGAAGGAAGAUUAAUACUCCAUAAUAUAUUGAACGGCAUCGUUUAAUAUUGAAAGCUCCGGCGGAUAGAGAUGGGCACGCGCAAGAUUAGCUAGUUGGUGAGGUAACGGCUCACCAAGGCGAUGAUCUUUAGGGGGCCUGAGAGGGUGAUCCCCCACACUGGUACUGAGACACGGACCAGACUCCUACGGGAGGCAGCAGUGAGGAAUAUUGGUCAAUGGGUGCAAGCCUGAACCAGCCAUCCCGCGUGAAGGACGACUGCCCUAUGGGUUGUAAACUUCUUUUGUAUAGGGAUAAACCUACCCUCGAGAGGGUAGCUGAAGGUACUAUACGAAUAAGCACCGGCUAACUCCGUGCCAGCCGCCGCAGUAAAAC